rnacentral:rRNA from 1 species
AACGAACGCUGGCGGCAUGCCUAACACAUGCAAGUCGAACGAGACCUUCGGGUCUUGUGGCGCACGGGUGCGUAACGCGUGGGAACCUGCCCUUAGGUUCGGAAUAACUCUCCGAAAGGGGUGCUAAUACCGGAUCAUGUCUUCGGCCCAAAGAUUUAUCGCCUUUGGUUGGGCCCGCGUUGGAUUAGCUAGUUGGUAGGGUAAUAGACUACCAAGGCGACGAUCCAUAGCUGGUUUGAGAGGAUGAUCAGCGACACUGGGACUGAGACACGGCCGAGACUCCUACGGGAUGCAGCAGUGGGGAAUAUUGCACAGUGGGCGAAAGGCUGAUCCAGCAAUGCCGCGAAAGUGAUGAAGGCCUUAGGGUUGUAAAGCUCUUGUACCCGGGAUGAUAAUGACAGUACCGGGAGAAUAAGCUCCGGCUAACUCCGUG